rnacentral:lncRNA from 1 species
GAGGUUCUAGCAGGAACUUUGAGCUUCAAAAUCUCUGUCUUAGAUUACUCAUUUCGGUUAGAGGUCAAUCUAUAAAAUGAAGUAUUUGGACUACUCUACAAGUUUGCUUAAGGAAUAUCUGGAUCUUUGGAUUUGAAAUUGACCGAUUUUGAGAUCUGAAUUUCGGGGGCAAGGAAGAAGAAGAAAGAAAAAACGGGCGGAAAAGAGGAUAGAGCCAUGCCACCGCCGGCACCUCUGCCCGCUGGCCAACGCGACAACCCCCUCCGCACCACGCACGCCCGUCAGUCACCGAGGUGGCCUCCAUGCACGCGGUGAACACUUGAAUAUAUACCGCUCCCACGCUUAUCGUUUCACUGGCCACCGUUCUUUUGUCGUGCAAACACAAGCUCGAGUGAGCACCACCACCGCCGGCCGAACCUGCAGCUUCGCUGCUCUCCUCUGCAAUUCCUUCCACCCGAAGCCCCGUUAGCUCCUCCUCCACACCCCACACCACUCCGUUUACCAGUUCCCCACCGGCAAGCCCCGAGUCGCCACAUCUCCUGUCC